CAGCCGCCACGGUAAUACCAGCACCUCGAGUGGUCAGGAGGUUUAUUGGGCCUAAAGCAUCCGUAGCCGGUUGCAUAAGUUUUCGGUUAAAUCUAUGCGCUUAACGUAUAGGCCGCCGAAAAUACUGUGCAGCUAGGGAGUGGGAGAGGUACACGGUACUCGAUAGGAAGGGGUAAAAUCCUUUGAUCUAUUGAGGACCACCUGUGGCGAAGGCGGUGUACCAGAACACGUUCGACGGUGAGGGAUGAAAGCUGGGGGAGCAAACCGGAUUAGAUACCCGCGUAGUCCCUGUCUCUUAUAC
rnacentral:rRNA from 1 species